UUUACAUUAACACAAUUCUUCUCAGCUUCCAAAAGGACCAAAACCCUUUCCAAUCUCUCUCGAUUCAACAACAUCAAAAAAUUCAGUAAAACCCCAUCUCAAUUCCAUCGAUUAUCUUCACUGAUCAACUAAUCCUUCGAUUCUGUUUACAGAGAUAAAAACCCUAAAUUAAUUUCUAUUUUCAAUCAUCAUGAAUCUCGAUCUCUGUUGUUCUUGGUCUGAAUAGCAACAACACUCUCCAUGAUGUAUUCGACCUCAGAAGAGAGAAAGAAGAAAGAGAAAAGGAGAUAAAUAAAUUACAAGCUUAGAAGGGGAAGAUGAAGAAAUGGUCGCUUUGAUCUUCAUGUGUAUGAGGAGUAUAAAGAACCAUGGUUGAAUUAUAGUUUGCCAACGAGAGAGUACAAGCAUCACUGGAUAACGUUCCUCGAGUUGCGUAAGGUUUUUAAAGACAAAGAAAGAUUGAGUCCCAAUUGAGGAAAAUAGGGAUUGGUUGCUGUAAAAGAAAAAUAGGGUAUUUUUUAUUUAUUCAUAAAAUUGCAGUAGUAACAUCAGCAGCGACUGGAACAGCCUAUGCCACUUCCAUUAAUCAUCUAGAUGACUACUACAGUUUUCAACCAAGUGGAGGUGAUGGCACAAAAGCAAACUUGAUUGUUGCUGCUGCUACAAGGGCUUGCAUGCAUUGUCACAAUGACACAAGUCAUGGCCAUGGUCACUUAGAUACCCCAAAGUCAAAUGUCAAGGUCGUUUUAAUUCUGGAAGAGCCAGAAACAGGGAAGAACCCAGAUUCUGUUGUAGUGUCUAUUAAAUCACUCAUGCACUGGCAGAGACCAAGUUGAUUGGGAAGAGAUAAUAUUUAUCGUGGAAGCUAGAAAUGAAUAGGUCUUGAAGCCAGUACUAUUAAGCACAUCGGAAGCAAAUAUGGUUCUUAUUGGUCUCAAGGCCUGUGUAUGUAUUUUUUUUCUUUUGUUUCAUGAAUGAAGAAGGGUCUGUGUUUUUUGUGUAACAACGCGUAGAAGCAGUAAUCUUUGUUUCAGUGUCUGUGAAUGUGGGUGGAGUGUGCAUAAAGGGCUCGGGUUGCACGGCAAGGAGUUUCACAGUUCUUUGUUUUUUUUUUCAUUAAGCAUGAAACAACUGACGAGAAAUGGAAAAUAUAUCAUUCAAUUUUGAAAG